CCCACUUAUAAGUGAGGACGUGUGGUGUUUGGUUUUCUGUUCCUGCGUUAGUUGGCUGAGGAUAAUGGUGUCCAGCUUCAUCCAUGUCCCUGUAAAGGACAUGAUUCUGAAGUCUCGGGAGCUGUCUCUCUGUUCCACAGUUUUUUUUCUUGUCUUUGACUUGAAGGAACUGGGUCAAUUGUCCUGCGGAAUGUUCCACCUUCUGGGUUUAUCUAUGGAUGAGACUUUCUUUCAGCUGGGUGCGGUGGCUCACACCUGUAAUCCCCGCUACUCGGGAAGCUGAAGCGGGAGGAUCUCUUGAGCCCAGGAGGUCAAGGUUGCAGCGAACUAUGAUCCGCACCACUGCACUCCAGCCUGGGCAGCAGAGCGAGACCCUGUCUCAAAAAAAAUUCACUUUGAAUUAAGGAGGGAGACCUGUGAGGGCACAGCAAGUCGUAUUUGAGCUGAGGGAGAAAGAAUUCAGUCUCAGCAUCAAGUAUGGUGACAGCUGGGGAUUUUGCUUAAAGCAGGCUGGGAAAAGAAGGAAAUUCGAACGCAGGCUGCAACACGGAUGAACCUUGAGGACGUCGUGCUGAGGUGAAUUAAGCCAGACACAGAGGACAAAGGGGCAAACGCUACAUGAUUCCACUCACAGGAGGUCCCUGGAGUUGCGUGAGAUGCACAGAGAAAAUGGAAGGUGUUUCCCUGCAACGGUGCCGGCUUUCCUUGGAGUUUGGUGACGAUUGAUAUGGAUGUGGCUUUGUGGUUGGCUGCCUGCCCAGCUCCCAGGGGCGAGGGGCUCCUCCUGCCCCAGCCCUGCCUGUCAGUGCCCCCGCCUGUGGCCCCACCGACCGUCCCAUCCACCCCAUCUGUCCACAUGGAGUUCACACGUGUCUGAGCCCUUCUUGUUCUUCAGGAACCUAAAGUGGAAGUUCGGAUAAUUAAUUCAAGACUCCAUGAAGUGUACAGGCGAAGAUCAUCUCUUUCCGGCCCUGCUGCGGACACUAGUGCAGUGAGCAGAUGCCUUCUCAGUUCCGCAGCCGCCCUCUGAGCCGUCUGAUUCCUCCACGUGGACCUGGGUUUCCACACAAGCAACGAGGAAGGCAGAGCCACACACACUGCGGAUAAAAAGAUCACACAGGACCCUCACCCUUUGAGACGCCGUCUGCCCAGACACACUGCUUGCUAGAUAUGAGGAGCUGUGGGUCCCCAGAGAUCACACAAGAUCCUCACCCUCUCAGAUGCCGUACACCCGGACGCACUGCCUGUUGGAUGUGAGCAGCUGCGGGUCCCCAGAAAUCACAAGGGACCCUCACCUGCGAGUUCAGAGAUCACACAGGACCCUCACCCUCUGAGAUGCCGUCCACCUGGACGCACUGCUUGGUGGAUGUGAGCAGCUGUGGGUCCCCAGAGAUCAUACAGGAUCCUCACCUGCGGGUCCCCAGAGAUCACACAGGAUCCUCACCCGCGGGUCCCCAGACAUCAUGCAGGACCCUCACCCUCUGAGAUGCCAUCCGCCUGGACGCACUGCUCGCUGGAUAUGAGGAGCUGUGGGUCCCCAGAGGUCACACAGGAUCCUCACCUGUGGGUCCCCAGAGAUCAUGGGGGAUCCUCACCCUCUGAGACGCCAUCUGCCCGGACACACUGCUUGGUGGAUGUGAGCCUGCGGGUUCCUGGUUUCUGCCCAGCUGACAUGUGGUGGUUCUCAGCGAGGCUGCUCGGGCGCUGUAGGCUGGGUGCCCCAUCCUCCAGCGGCUGUCAUGUGGCCAUGGGUGGGUCACAGCCACGCGUGUUCCCAGUGUGAUGAGCCGAUGGGUGGGCUGCUCUCUGCCCACACCCGGCUGGCCCAGGCCGUUGUCUUGCCCUGAGGACUGGCCCUGUGGUGUCCUGAGUGGCAGGGCCAAGGGCUCUGCUUCUUCCUGUGCUGAGGUGGUCACCCCGUGACAGGUUCUGUCUGCAGCGCACACCCUCCAGGAGGCACCUGCCCCCCAGCCCCUGCCUCAGGCCCCGCUUCCUGGAGCCCAGCCUAAGACAUCGGUGGCCAGGACGGCAAGGACCUGAGACACAGUGCCAGCCACAGCAGCACUCCUGCCUGAGUGGGGUCUGGAUGUUCCGGGAGGGCCCUUGUCUCAGACUCCCCCAGACCUUUCUCGACAAAUGAAGCUUCAACCUCUGGUUUGCCAGGUGAUGGUUAGGCAGCCUGGUCUCACAGCUGCUGGACUCCCUGGAUCACUGUGGCCUCAGUGUGGACAGUGGAGCCUCACGACCCUCUCUGUUUUUCUUUGCUUUUGUCAGGUGUGGGUGUGAGAUGGCCCAGACUUGGGCCACAGCCACAAGCUUCUGUGACUCACGCAACUCAAGAGCACUGUAGUGGGGUCUCACCGCAGAAGCCAUCUGGGAAUGCUCUUGACUUGGGGUGUGUGCGUGUUUUCCCAUUUUGAAGAAUAAGGUCAAUUUUAAAAUUUUCUGACACUUUCUCGCUUUGCCAAUUUUUGAUGGCAAAAUUUUAGUCUCCAGCCUCUCCUUUCUACUUCAGAAGCUUGUGUGUUGCUUGUCUCAGCUGUUAGUGGAUAUGGGUUCUGAAAAUGGUAAUUAAUUUUAACAAUAGCUUAAGUAAGCCAGACAUUAAUCAUAAUUGGCAAAGGAAAUAUGCUGUAAAGUAUUAUAUAAUCUAAGAUAAAACAGGAGCAAUUUUUGCAUAAUUUGUUAUUUUGUACUGCCUGUGUUAUCAUUAGCACAGUGAUUAAGAAUUAACUGAAAUUACUCAAAUUACCAGAAAUAAUUCAAUUAUCGAUAAUUGUAUAUCGAUGUAUAAUAACAUAUACAACCAAACACUUAGGUGAUUUGCUCAGGAUACAUUUCACAACUUGUUUUUCCAUCAAAAUAUUUUUGACUCACAGUUGAAUUCUCAGUACUUCCAUCAAUUAAAUGGAAAAGCAAAUUAAUUGUAGUGUGGGAAUCUCUGGGAGUAUUUCUUGCUUUUUCUCUUUUACUAAUGUACUUGUUCUUCAGUAAAUAGAUUGGAUAGUUUGUUACUUCCAGAGGAAGACAGUAACCACCAAUAGACAGGAAAAUGUACCUCUGGUUUACCAAACUUAGUCAUAGUCACAUUACAGAGUUAAUUCUAUAAUGUUGUGAAAAACACCUGUGUCACAAAAAUGUUAAUGAUCUCUUGACUGCAUAGAUGAGUUGCGUUCCGGAGUCUUAAGUUGCUUUCUAAAUACUAAUUAAUUAAACCCAAGCUUUCUGUGUCAGGCGAUUACUCACUUUUGUCCUUUCCUUAGUCUACCCAAGCUGAAUUUCUGAUAAUAUGGUAAGACAAGAAUGAAACAUAACCCAAAACAUAAGCUUCCAGCCACGGUUCUGUGUGGAAAUUGCAGCUUAGGAAGAUUUUGUCACAAUGAGAUGGUAACCCCUGCUUCCCCCGGCCAUACAGAGGAUUGAAGAUGUAAGUACCUGGGGGACGCCAGCCACAGUGUUUUACCACCUACUCUUCCAGUAGCUUUGGAAAAGGAAAAAAAAAAGUCACAGAAUUGGGGCACACAGGGGAGAGUGCAGCAUGAACAAUUUUCCAUUAAUCUGAUAAAGAGGGAGGUAGUCUAGGUGCAGCUCUGAGAUGCAUUUCUGCAGGGGAGCCACUCCCUGAGAGCUUUGUGUUUCCUUCCUGUUAGCGAUCUCAUG
rnacentral:lncRNA from 1 species